UUGAGCUGUAUGAAAGAAAACUUUCACGUACAGUUCUUAGGCGAGAAAGAGGGAGUAAUCCCUCUGACUUAGCCGAC
rfam:Methanococcoides burtonii DSM 6242, complete genome.